rnacentral:rRNA from 1 species
UAGGGAAUCUUCGGCAAUGGGGGCAACCCUGACCGAGCAACGCCGCGUGAGUGAAGAAGGUUUUCGGAUCGUAAAGCUCUGUUGUAAGAGAAGAACGUGUGUGAGAGUGGAAAGUUCACACAGUGACGGUAACUUACCAGAAAGGGACGGCUAACUACGUGCCAGCAGCCGCGGUAAUACGUAGGUCCCGAGCGUUGUCCGGAUUUAUUGGGCGUAAAGCGAGCGCAGGCGGUUUAAUAAGUCUGAAGUUAAAGGCAGUGGCUUAACCAUUGUUCGCUUUGGAAGCUGUUAGACUUGAGUGCAGAAGGGGAGAGUGGAAUUCCAGGUGUAGCGGUGAAAUGCGUGGAUAUAUGGAGGAACACCGGUGGCGAAAGCGGCUCUCUGGUCUGUAACUGACGCUGAGGCUCGAAAGCGUGCGGAGCAAACAGG